rnacentral:lncRNA from 10 species
AUGGAAAAGAUGGAAAGCAGGAAAUAGACGAGCCUAGGUAAGUGGCAGAGCCAGCACUUGAAUCAGGGUCUUGGCUCUCAUUUAACAUGCACCCAAACAGAAACAUGCAGACACACACACAGACACACACACACACAUAGACACAUGAACACCUGCUCACACACACACACACGCAUACACGCAUGCAGAGACACAGACACACACAGAUACACAUGCAUACAGGCACACACAGAGACACAGACACAGGCACUUGCACAGACACACACGCACACACACACACCGAGGGCAGAAUAUGUGCCACUCACUGGCCAGAUCCUGGGGACAUAGAGAUAGAUAUGGUUGCUGGCCUCAUGGUGCUUACAGUUGAGAGGGGGAAAUUGAUAGAUAGAAAGCCAGAGAACGUUACUGAAAUAAGCAAAGGAG